rnacentral:rRNA from 1 species
UACGUAGGGUGCGAGCGUUAAUCGGAAUUACUGGGCGUAAAGGGCGCGUAGGCGGGAUGGCAAGUCGGUCGUGAAAUCCUUCGGCUCAACCGAGGAACGUCGAUCGAAACUGCCGUUCUUGAGGAUUGCAGAGGAGACUGGAAUUCCCGGUGUAGCGGUGAAAUGUGUAGAGAUCGGGAGGAACACCGGUGGCGAAGGCGGGUCUCUGGGCAAUUCCUGACGCUGAGGCGCGAAAGCGUGGGGAGCAAACGGG